CCUACGGGAGGCAGCAGUGGGGAAUAUUGCACAAUGGGGGAAACCCUGAUGCAGCGACGCCGCGUGAGUGAAGAAGUAUCUGGGUACGUAAAGCUCUAUCAGCAGGGAAGAAAAUGACGGUACCUGACUCAGAAGCCCCGGCUAACUACGUGCCAGCAGCCGCGGUAAUACGUAGGGGGCAAGCGUUAUCCGGAUUUACUGGGGGUAAAGGGAGCGUAGACGGCAGCACAAGUCUGGAGUGAAAUCCCGGGGCUUAACCCCGGAACUGCUUUGGAAACUGGGCGGCUGGAGUGCAGGAGGGGUAAGCGGAAUUCCUAGUGUAGCGGUGAAAUGCGUAGAUAUUAGGAGGAACACCGGUGGCGAAGGCGGCUUACUGGACUGUAACUGACGUUGAGGCUCGAAAGCGUGGGGAGCAAACAGGAUUAGAUACCCGAGUAGUC
rnacentral:rRNA from 1 species